GUUUCAGCAGCCGCGGUAAUACGAAGGGGGCGAGCGUUGUUCGGAGUUACUGGGCGUAAAGGGCGCGUAGGCGGCGCUCCAAGUUAGGCGUGAAAGCCCCGGGCUCAACCUGGGAAUUGCGCUUAAGACUGGAGUGCUCGAGUGCGGAAGAGGUGAGUGGAAUUCCCAGUGUAGAGGUGAAAUUCGUAGAUAUUGGGAAGAACACCAGUGGCGAAGGCGGCUCACUGGUCCGCAACUGACGCUGAGGCGCGAAAGCGUGGGGAGCAAACAGGAUUAGAUACCCUGGUAGUCC
rnacentral:rRNA from 1 species